CUACGGGUCGCUGCAGUGGGGAAUAUUGGGCAAUGGGCGAAAGCCUGAUCCAGCCACGCCGCGUGAGUGAUGAAGGCCUUCGGGUUGUAAAGCUCUGUCGGGAGGGACGAAAGCUUCGGCUUGACGGUACCUCGCAAGAAAGCACCGGCUAACUCCGUGCCAGCAGCCGCGGUAAUACGGAGGGGUGCGAGCGUUGCUCGGAAUUACUGGGCGUAAAGCGGACGCAGGCGGCUCGGUAAGUCGGAUGUGAAAGCCCCGGGCUCAACCUGGGAACUGCAUUCGAAACUGCCUCGCUGGAGUUCGGGAGAGGGAGGUGGAAUUCCUGGUGUAGAGGUGAAAUUCGUUGAUAUCAGGAGGAACACCGGCGGCGAAGGCGGCCUCCUGGCCCGAUACUGACGCUAAUGUCCGAAAGCGUGGGGAGCAAACAGGAUUAGAUACCCGCGUAGUC
rnacentral:rRNA from 1 species